UGCAGUCGAACGGAAAGGCCCUUCGGGGUACUCGAGUGGCGAACGGGUGAGUAACACGUGGGUGAUCUGCCCUGCACUCUGGGAUAAGCCUGGGAAACUGGGUCUAAUACCGGAUAGGACCACACACUUCAUGGUGAGUGGUGCAAAGCUUUUGCGGUGUGGGAUGAGCCCGCGGCCUAUCAGCUUGUUGGUGGGGUAAUGGCCCACCAAGGCGACGACGGGUAGCCGGCCUGAGAGGGUGACCGGCCACACUGGGACUGAGAUACGGCCCAGACUCCUACGGGAGGCAGCAGUGGGGAAUAUUGCACAAUGGGCGCAAGCCUGAUGCAGCGACGCCGCGUGAGGGAUGACGGCCUUCGGGUUGUAAACCUCUUUCAGUAGGGACGAAGCGAAAGUGACGGUACCUACAGAAGAAGGACCGGCCAACUACGUGCCAGCAGCCGCGGUAAUACGUAGGGUCCGAGCGUUGUCCGGAAUUACUGGGCGUAAAGAGCUCGUAGGUGGUUUGUCGCGUUGUUCGUGAAAACUCACAGCUUAACUGUGGGCGUGCGGGCGAUACGGGCAGACUAGAGUACUGCAGGGGAGACUGGAAUUCCUGGUGUAGCGGUGGAAUGCGCAGAUAUCAGGAGGAACACCGGUGGCGAAGGCGGGUCUCUGGGCAGUAACUGACGCUGAGGAGCGAAAGCGUGGGUAGCGAACAGGAUUAGAUACCCUGGUAGUCCACGCCGUAAACGGUGGGUACUAGGUGUGGGUUUCCUUCCUUGGGAUCCGUGCCGUACUAACGCAUUA
rnacentral:rRNA from 1 species